AUUGAACGCUGGCGGCAGGCCUAACACAUGCAAGUCGAACGAGUGGCGGACGGGUGAGUAAUGUAUGGGAAACUGCCUGCUGGAUGGGGUUAACUACUGGAAACGGUAGCUAAUACCGCAUACCAUCAGAUGUGCCCAGAUGGGAUUAGCUAGUUGGUGGGGUAACGGCGCACCAAGGCGACGAACCCUAGCUGGUCUGUGAGGAUGACCAGCCAAACUGGAACUGAGACGCGGUCCAGACUCCUACGGGAGGCAGCAGUGGGGAAUAUUGCACAAUGGGCGAAAGCCUGAUGCAGCCAUGCCGCGUGUAUGAAGAAGGCCUUCGGGUUGUAAAGUACUUUCAGCGGGGAGGCGUUACCCGCAGAAGAAGCACCGGCUAACUCCGUGCCAGCCGCCGCGGUAAUAC
rnacentral:rRNA from 1 species